UGGCUCAGAUUGAACGCUGGCGGCAGGCCUAACACAUGCAAGUCGAGCGGAUGAAGGGAGCUUGCUCCCUGAUUCAGCGGCGGACGGGUGAGUAAUGCCUAGGAAUCUGCCUGGUAGUGGGGGACAACGUUUCGAAAGGAACGCUAAUACCGCAUACGUCCUACGGGAGAAAGCAGGGGACCUUCGGGCCUUGCGCUAUCAGAUGAGCCUAGGUCGGAUUAGCUAGUUGGUGAGGUAAUGGCUCACCAAGGCGACGAUCCGUAACUGGUCUGAGAGGAUGAUCAGUCACACUGGAACUGAGACACGGUCCAGACUCCUACGGGAGGCAGCAGUGGGGAAUAUUGGACAAUGGGCGAAAGCCUGAUCCAGCCAUGCCGCGUGUGUGAAGAAGGUCUUCGGAUUGUAAAGCACUUUAAGUUGGGAGGAAGGGUUGCUGAUUAAUACUCUGCAAUUUUGACGUUACCGACAGAAUAAGCACCGGCUAACUCUGUGCCAGCAGCCGCGGUAAUACAGAGGGUGCAAGCGUUAAUCGGAAUUACUGGGCGUAAAGCGCGCGUAGGUGGUUUGUUAAGUUGGAUGUGAAAGCCCCGGGCUCAACCUGGGAACUGCAUCCAAAACUGGCAAGCUAGAGUAGGGCAGAGGGUGGUGGAAUUUCCUGUGUAGCGGUGAAAUGCGUAGAUAUAGGAAGGAACACCAGUGGCGAAGGCGACCACCUGGGCUCAUACUGACACUGAGG
rnacentral:rRNA from 1 species